rnacentral:lncRNA from 1 species
GAUACUCCCUCCGUCCACGAAAAACAUGCCACAAUUUCCUUUUUCGUCCGUCCACGAAAAAUAUGCCACAUCCAUUUUUAGUAGUAGGGUCCACACUAUUCCACUCACAUUUAAAGUGGGACCCUUACUCCACUACCAACUUCACUCACAUUUUAUUAAAACCCGUGCCGAAAGCAAAGUGGCAUGUUUUUCGUGGACGG